AGCCACGGCCAUGUCACCCUGCAGCCCAAGACUGGUUACUCACUGAAGCUAAGCAGGGCUGAGCCUGGUCAGUACCUGUAUGGGAGACCACUAGGGAACACUAGGUUGCUGUUGGAA
rnacentral:rRNA from 1 species